UCGGGAUUAUCUUCCUAAGUCUCAAUCUACGAAUUUCCUGGAAAGAUUGAUGAUCCUGGACGGACAUGGCCCAGCAGCGGUUUUGGAAGAGCGCAGUUGGACGGUGUUGCUUAAGCACGGAGGAGUUAACUUUCCGGUGACGGUUCUCAUGAACCCGAACGAUUCGUCGAGAAUCUCGACCGGCUCGACGAUUUAGAGGCCGGAAGUGAUUCCAGCCCAAGCUUGUGGGAGAUCAUGUGGCGGUGAUUUCCUUCGAUUUGUAAUGCAACUUCCUCCCUCUUCUAUUCCUAACGGAUUAAUGAUGCACAAGGAAAGGCUUCCGAUGCAGGCGCCAGCGGUGACGACGCCAAGUCUAAUUCUUCCCAGAGCUGACCUUAUUGUAGAAUAUGCUAAUCCAAAAACCAAACUGACCAUAACAUCUGCAUCUGAUUUCCUUAAGCAAAAGCAACUUCCGGUGAGCUUAAGCUCCGAAAGCCUUGCGUUGACUUGACCUGAUUUCUAACAAAUAAUUCACUCUUUCGAUGUCAGACAAUCUACAUUUCAGUCGACGAAAAUCCAUGGCAAGGGAUUGCCGGUCCUCUGGCGUAAACAUUGUGGCUUUCGAGAUGCUUUACGAGGCGGGUCACAUGAUCACAGGCUAAGUGGACUUCUAACGAGUAAGUUUCAGUUUUAAAGUACAUCAAUAGUCUUAAAA